GAGACGACAGGAGGAGUCAGAAGCAGGAGGUUAAAAAAGACAAGAAACACACACACACACACACACACAAAGCCACCCCACAAAAGCCGUCUAAGUGGCUCCCUUUCGGGACCUGAGGCUUUCCAGCGAAACGUCCUGCGGAGAGCAGACCGUUUGGGGCCGCAGCAUCUUCCCUCCGGGGGCAACGCCUCGGGCCGCCGGGUGUGCGUCCUGGAGCUCUCGGCCCGGCUCAGCCGUCACUCCGGAGGCAGGGAGGUCUCAUCUCGCGUUGAGCGUGCGCUGGCUGCUGGAGACAGAUAUCAAGACGAUAAGAAGACCGCAGAGAAAGGCCUCUUGCUCUGCUGGGGGAGACAGACACACGGACCAAUGGCUGAAACCAGGGCGAUGAGCGCAGUGAAUCAUCUCAAUGGAAGCUGGAUGGAGGUGAUGCCAUGUUGCUCGUGGCCCCAGGCAUCUCGCGGAUGAAGAUGAAACUGCUCUCCAGAAGAAGAUAACCACCCAAACACAGAAGGAAAGAAAGUUCAAGGCAAGUGACAAUCUUCCAGUCCUAACCUCCACGAUUAUAGAAAAUAUAGUGGUGAUUUGUGUGCAAAGGUUUGAAAUUUAAAAGUACUGAGUUCCUGAAAUUCAAUAAAAUAUUUUUAUUA
rnacentral:lncRNA from 1 species